AGCGAACGCUAGCGGCAGGCUUAACACAUGCAAGUCGAGCGCCAGGUUUCGGCCUGGAGCGGCGAACGGGUGAGUAACACGUAGGUCACGUACCCUAUGGUGGGGAAUACCCCGGGGAAACUCGGAUCAAUGCCCCAUAUGUCCGAAAGGACGAAAGCGCUUCGGCGCGCCAGAGGAUCGGCCUGCGGCCCAUUAUUUAAUCCUAGUUGGUGAGGUAACGGGUCACCAAGGGUACGAUGGGUAGCUGGUCUGAGAGGACGAUCAGCCACACUGGAACUGAGACACGGUCCAGACUCCUACGGGAGGCAGCAGUGGGGAAUAUUGGACAAUGGGCGAAAGCCUGAUCCAGCCAUGCCGCGUGAGUGAUGAAGGCCUUCGGGUUGUAAAGCUCUGUCGUCGGGGAAGAAGUUCUGACGGUACCCCACAAGAAAGCACCGGCUAACUCCGUGCCAGGCGCCGCCGUAAUAC
rnacentral:rRNA from 1 species